rnacentral:misc_RNA from 1 species
GAUGAAGAACGUAGCGAAAUGCGAUAAGUAAUGUGAAUUGCAGAAUUCAGUGAAUCAUCGAGUCUUUGAACGCACAUUGCGCCCCCUGGUAUUCCGGGGGGCAUGCCUGUCCGAGCGUCAUUGCUGCCCUCAAGCACGGCUUGUGUGUUGGGCCCCCGUCCCCGGUUUCCCCCGGGGACGGGCCCGAAAGGCAGCGGCGGCACCGCGUCCGGUCCUCGAGCGUAUGGGGCUUUGUCCCCCGCUCUGUAGGCCCGGCCGGCGCCAGCCGACACCCAACUUUAUUUCUAAGGUUGACCUCGGAUCAGGUAGGGAUACCCGCUGAACUUAAGCAUAUCAAUAAGCGGAGGA